AGUCUCGUUAUUUAAUAAUAUAAUACAUUUUUGUCCAUGAAGCAAUACCCUUGUCGCUUUUUUUAUUCCAAAUUGGUCUAACCUUGCACGCUAACUCUAGAUUUUCUUCAUCUUUGGUGCAGAAUCUUGGCUAAUUACUAGCUUUGGUGCAAGGAAGGUGUUUGGAGCUGAAUUAUACGGCUUGUAAUGGCAGAAUUGUUUGGGCCUCGCUUGUAUAGCUGUUAUAAAUGUCGAAAUCAUGUCUCGCUUCACGAUGAUAUUGUGUCCAAGGCUUUUCAGGGAAGACAUGGUCGAGCCUUCUUGUUCUCUCAUGCGAUGAACAUUGUUGUUGGCCCCAAAGAAGAUAGGCAGCUCAUGACUGGUCUUCACACGGUUGCAGAUAUCUGUUGCCGGGAUUGCCGUGAAGUGUUGGGGUGGAAGUAUGAAAGAGCUUAUGUGGCAACACAGAAGUACAAGGAAGGGAAGUUCAUAAUUGAGAAGUCAAAAAUUGUGAAGGAGAACUGGUAGCCUUUUGACAGGGUAACCCUUAAUUUAUCUCAUUGUCGUCGGAUUGGAAUGUGUAACUUGGAAUCCAUCCGAAUGCAAUGAAAAGGAAUCUACAAACCCAUCACAGAAAAAUAUACAUGAAAACACAAGGACAAAGAGACAGGCUAGUGUCUAGAUCCUAUGCCGAGCCAAAGCUCAAACCACACUGCCUCAAAGGGUCGGGUCACGUGGCGUAGUAAUCUGUCCACCAAGUUGCCUCGGGCAGGCGUGGAAACCCAAACAAAGACAGCAACCAAGCUCCGAUGGAAACAGACUGAACACAAGCAGGACGGUUGCUGCGCCGCCUUGGGUAGCCCCAAUAAGCACGCUGGCCUGCUCCGACCGUUGGAUGCACGCCUGAUGCCACCUGAUGCAUGGACGGACCAAAGCCGAAGCAAUGGAGUUAUAAACUCCGGCGAGCCCUCGCUGGCACGACAGGCUCCGGGCACGACGAAUGGAAAAGAAAUCCUCCUGGCUAAAAUUUCAAACCACACGUGACCACGGUGGCCGAUGAAACGGGGUACCGCAGCUUACCUAUUCAAUCCCAACAGCUGAAAACUGACAAACCCUCCACGGGCCAAGCCCAGGAGUAUUAUUCUCCCACCUCCAGCACCCAUCAAACCUGAAGAAACAGGCUGAUACACGGCCGAACUGGAAGAUCCAGCCGCAAAAACUGGACUAGCCGGUGAAAGCUAACAAAGAAAAACCGAAAAAACGAGCUCCAAGACCGUCGAUGGUACACCACGCCGCACGAGCCGCUAGAAGCAAAGCCACGCCGAACAGAGUGGGUCAAACUGGAAUCUACGGUGCCGGAUGAGAGGAGGAAAGGCAGAUCCAGGGCCAGCGGUCUCGGAAAUGGGUGGGGUUCUAACUGGAGAAAGUUUUUAGAGGGAGAAAGAAGAGAGAGAGCGCACAGCAUUACAAAUUUUUUUAAUUGUGUUACAAUUGAUGUUCUCCAGUUCCCUUA